AUCAUUUGCUUCCACUUUCCCCUAUGAUCACAUAUCAGGGGUCCUGCCCUCUAUAAUGAAGCAUUGACAAGAAAACUUUUCACACCCACCACUAAAUGCUUCGCAUGUUCAUUAGGGUUUGAUUUAAUUGGAGAUAUAAUUCCCAAGAUAAUGAAAAGAUGUCAAAAAACCAGGGACCAGUUGGCGGAAACAGGAACAAGCCACACAACGUCUAUGAUUUUUAGUCCUUUCAAGCCACCAUCCAUGGUUUUACUAAGAGCAUAAACUCAACUAUUGUUGAUUGAUGAUACUUUUGUCUCCCCACCCUUUCCCUCUUUUUCCAGUCAUUUCUUAUUGGUAUCAUCAUG
rnacentral:misc_RNA from 1 species